UGUUGUAAGAAAGUAAUGCUUGUGGCAUCAUAGGAUAUAUUUUUUAUACCCCUAUUGUGCUUUUGUCACUGAAUAUUUUUACUGUAGACUUAUAUUUUAUGUAUCCCCAAGCAACAAUUCAUACACAAACUUGCUGUUAUGUUCUAAAUUCAUACACUAGUUAGGAAUUCUGUUUUUAAAAUAAAUGUUACAGUUUACUUCUCAAGAGAUCUCAACAGCCAGCAUCUGAUUGUGAAGGGAUUAAAAAUCCUAAUCAAAUUCAUAUUUAUAUACAUAAAAAAAUAUUACUGCAAGGCAAUAAAAUAAUUUGCAAGCAGCAGCUCAGCAUUAGCUGGUAGAUAAUUACAGACUGCCUUGAUAUGCACUGAGCAGUUAUGUCACAUGAUUUAAUCUUGAAAUUGUGCAAGCCAGAUUGUCAGCAAAUGUAUAGAUCAAAUGUUGUUGUAACCUGGUGUAUAUCAGCUGCCAUAAAAUGUUCUGGCUUGUCAUGGGAAGCAAUGCAUUUGACCACAUUCAUAUCGUUUGAGUCCACCUUACCUGCAUAGUUGCCAUUUAUAUAUAUUUUAUGGAUGUCAUAGAGAUAAGAGAUAGAACCUAGUCCUGACUUUCUUCUAUAUAUAUUUGCUAUCAAUAUGCACGUUAACUUAAACCUUUUUUAGAAUGACACUCUUGCUCAAGUCUGAUACAUUUACAAAAACAUACAGUAUUAUAGUUAAUGGGUUACUAUAUCCCUUUUCAAACCGUCUUCUUUUUUUAAACUUGGGCAUUCCUAGUUAGGUCUCCUCUUUAAAGAGUAAUACAUUUUUUUUUAAAAACUUACUUGUAAUCCAACGCCAGGUGAAGCUCUCUGAGCUGAUCUCCACUCUUCCCACCUGAUGUCACCAAGGGUCUAGCAUGGUCCUUCAAAGGCUUCUCAUAGAGAAGCCUUUGUUUCGACCACUUCGCUAGCUUAGAACACGUGCGCUCUGAACCAGCAUGGGUAGGGAGGGAGAAAAAAAACAAACUAUGGAGGUAGAAGGGAGCGAGCGAAUAGAAGACGGGUAGGGAAAAGAAAGCUUCCCCUUGCAAGUGCUGUAACUGCAAGUGGCAAGUUAAUUAUGUCUAUUACCAGUGCGCUGUAGCGUGAUGAUGGACAUAUUUUUUGCACAGUAUUGACAUUUGCAAGCGGGAAGUCAUGUGUGCUGUGGUUUUAACAAGUAUGAAACCAUGCAGAACCAGACUCCUACCACCAUGACCACUUCAAAUCACUGAAGUGGUCAGGCGGGCUGGAGUAACCUUUUAAGUGUUUAGUCUUGCAUAUGUUUUAUGAACCAAGAAAUUUCAGGAACCUUUAUACUUAAA